rnacentral:misc_RNA from 1 species
UCACCCCUCAGGCCCCCGCGGCUUGGUGUUGGAGGUCCCGGUCGCGCCCCGUUCGCACGACCCCUCCGAAAGACAAUGACGGCGGCCUCGCGGAACCCCCGGUACACUGAGCUCCUUUGCAGGGCACGUAUCGGAUUUAGGGCGCCCGGGCCCCGGUCUCCUCCCCUAUCACAGGGGAAAUUUUUCUA